CUGGGAUGACAGGCAUUCACCACCACACCUUGCGUGUAACUCUGGCUCUUGACUUCCAGGGUCUUUGAGCAGGGCCUUUCCUAUGGACCACAGCGGAUGGAGGACAGUGGCCCCGUGACCACCACUUGUGUUUCCAGCACGGGCUGCUGUGUUGACAGUUUCUUAUUCCUCUCAGCAGCUGUCAGUGACAUUGCUGAUCCCCGAGGGACAGGUGAGGAUGCAGGACUCCGGGUGGCUGAGCGAGACUUCCAAGCUGACAUUUACCCAGCGCUGACUGGCUGCGAGGCUGUCCCAGUGCCCUCCCACGACACCUCCUAGCUGGCGUCACCCUUGUUGGGGCAGCGCCCCUCGGGUUCCCCGACAGUCUACAGAAGCAAGAGGUAGCCCACGGGGAUGGCCGCAGAGGUGACCGCAUGCAGAGGGCAGAACCGCUGCCCUGGCGGUGCAGAGCUGUGGGUGCAGGGACAGGGGAGCCCCGGGGGUGGGGACCCCGCUGAGGCUUCCCUCGCUCGGUGACCUUUGGUCCUGCAGAUGGCUUGGCAGCAGCUGUGUGACACCGGGAGACCUUUUCUUGUGCGCUCAGAACUCCCAUUUACAAAUUCCUUGGUCACAAGACAGCGCUGCGGAGGUCCAGCCACACUUGUGGUGACAGCAGGUGACAGGUGCCCCAUCCAAGCUCUCCGGAAUCCCCGGGAAGCCGGGCGGCCUGCCGUGGCCAUGGGAGGAGGCUUUUUGUUGCCUGUACCUGCACGACAUCAAGCAGAGCUUGAGGAAGGGAGUCGAAUCUAA
rnacentral:lncRNA from 1 species